CCAAAUCUCAUACUUCGGCUAGAAUAAGUUUCAUAAAUUAACCUGCAGAGGCUGCAAACACUAAUAUCAAUUAAUCCACUUACAGUCAUCUUUGAACUUCCAGAGCAACCAACAUCAGGUGGUUGCAUGAGAGAUUCGACAUCCACAAUUGCAAUGCCCACUUUAUCCAUUGCUAUGAUCUAGUUCUGCAUAGAAAUGACGAAAAAGGAUUCAGCAGGAAAGCACUAUGAUGCUGACAACAGUUAGGAUUGUGAGUGAGAGAGAGAGAGAGAGAGAGAGAGAGAGAGGGAUCAACUUUGAAUAAUCCCACAAGUUUGACAAGUCUUGCCGUUCUUAUUAGUUGUCAAUGUUAUCCUUUAGACCUUGUUCUUAUUGAAAUGACCUAAAACUUUAUCUCCUUAUAGCUUUCAAAACAUGUUGUACAGAACCUUUCUCCUAAAACUUAUUUAAAUAAAUCCACUCCGAUGUAGUGUACUCAAAUAUGUUCAACUAGAAAGUAGUUAAAACUAUUUGGACAUCAGAAUCAACAGUGUGAAUAAAAAAAAAACUUAAAGACUCGAAUGUUCAACCAACCAAAAUAAGGAAUCUCAUAUAUGAUAUAUCUACCAGCAAUUACAUCAUCGACUCAGAAAAGGAACCUCAACAUCCCAACUACGAAGAAAAAACAAUAAUAUAAACAAAUAGAAGAAAGGACAAGACCCUCGAGUGUGCAUUGCUUGGUGCGAGCUAGCUCAUCCAUCAAGACCCUUUAUUUCCUCGUUACCUAUAUCAUAUGGAUCUAGUGAGUCUAGCAAGUUCAAACAUCUCACUGACCUUUAGUACCAUGGACCUUCAAACUUUAAUAAAAUAAUAUCAAACUUUAACUUUCAACAUCAAAAUAUUUAAGUGAGUUUAUAUCAUUGAAUGUAGUCCCUUUUUUCUUUUCCUCAACAUCUGUUCACCAAACUUUUACCCUAGUACUAGGCUUGGUAGCAUUCCUCGGUAUCCUCUAAGCCCGGUUCCACAAGCUUUGGUAAGGUUUCAGGUAUCCUCUAAGCCGGAUCCUUACCAUAGUACUAGGUUUGGUAGGGUUUCCCGGUAUCCUCUAAGUCAGGUUCCACUUGCCUUGGGUAAGGAUUCUAGCAUCCUCUAAGUCGGAUCCCACAACCCCUUUUUUCCUCUGAUUUGAUGAAGGAUUAUGGUAUUCUCUAAGCCGAACUCCUUUACUCGUCACAUUGCCACAUUCAUCAACAAGAAAAAUAGCUUACCUUUCAUGCAUUGAUAGUCAUAUAAAAAAUAUGAUAAUUUUACUUUGUAUGCUAAAACAUACCGUUAAUUUUUCAUGCAUCGAAAAACUUACUAAAAGUUAUGAUAAAAGAAUUAAAGGUGCUUAGACAUAAAUAUUAAACAAAAAUACUAUAAAUACAGAUGUUGUUUUAGGGAACACUGUCACACAUCCUCACCCAUCUUCCUAGCACCUACUCCCCCCUCCAACGCACCAUCCGCCCUCCUUCCUCCCUCAACUCCAGCCCCUUAUUCCGCAACCUGGUAGCACUCCCACUCAACCCCUCAACCCCUCAACCCCUUCCAGGAUUCUCAAGGCUCUAGCAAAUUUCCGAAAUUUCAAAGUCGAUAGAACUUUAGUCAAAACAACGCAACCAUGGUAAACUCGACAGAUCACACCGGCCCUCGUGCUGGCGAUGCAUCAUUCAAAUAUCUACCCUAUCAACUUUUGAUGGUAGGAUAGUUGCCUACCAUGGUGGUGACGGGUAACGGAGAAUUAAGGUUCAAUUCUGGAGAGGGAGCCUGAGAAACAGCUACCACAUCUAAGGAAGGCAGCAUACAUGCAAAUUACCUAAUCCUGACACGGGGAGAUAGUGACAAUAAAUAAUAAUAUCGAGCUCUUAAAGUUUGGUAAUUGGAAUGAGUACAAUCUAAAUCCCUUAACGAGGAUCCAUUGGAGGGCAAGUUUGGUGCCAGCAGCUGCGGUAAUUCCAACUCUAAUAGCAUAUAUUUAAGUUGUUGCAAUUAAAAAGCUCAUAGUUGGACCUUGGGUUGAGUCGAUCAGUCCACCUUGUUGUGUGCAUCGGUCGUCUCAUCCCUUCUGCCAAUGAUGCGUGCCUAGCCCUAGUUGAUCGGGUCGUGUCGCGCUGUUAAUUUGAAGAAAUUAGAGUGCUCAAAGAAAAUCUACGCUCUGGAUAUAUUAGCAUGGGAUAACGUCACAGGAUUUCGUUCCUAUUGUGUUGGCCUUGGGAAUUGGAGUAAUGAUUAAGAGGGGCAAUCAGGGGCAUUCAUAUUUCAUAGUCAGGUGAAAUUCUUAGAUUUAUGAAAGACGAACUGCAAAAGCAUUUGCUAGGGAUGUUUGGCUUUCUUUUACUUAGUUCGGAGCCUAUAGCGACUUCUACUCCAAGGUCCGCGAUUGUUGAUCGCUUUCGUUAAGCAAUCACUAUAGAUUUGAAAAUUGAGUACAAGUACAAAUAUGCAGCUUACAAGUAUUGCACAAAAUUAAACUUGUUACCAACGACUUGGAGAAAUAGAACUUCUAGCUUGAUCGUCAUCGGAGCAGCGUUUAGACGUUUUCAGAGUGUGUGCAAGAGCUCAAGUUGUUCUUCAAGAAUUGUUGUCGAAGCACUUGGUCGAGCCCUCCUUUUAUAGCCAAGCUUGAUCUCGGGAUCAGGUUUGACUCGCUGUCGAUCAGUUGACCGAUCCUCCUGAUCGGUCGACCGAUCUCGCCUGAAUCGGUCGGCCUUCUAGUUCUUCUGCUUGGAUAUACCGACCGAUCCCGCCGUUCGGUCGACCGAUCCCCAGCACAUCUGGUCCGAUCAAUUCGGCUCGGCAAUAUCACCGCUUAUCCCCGGUUCGGUCGAUCGAUCCCUCGAUCGAACCCGGUCCACUCAUUGGAACUCUGCUAUGUUUGCUGUUAUGUUUGCUUGGAGGUUCGGUCGACCGAUCCAAGCCAAACAUCAACCUGCAGAAUCAUUAGUCUUCCUGUAAAACAGAGUUAACACAUAGCAGAUAAUAUGUAAAUAAAUAACUUUGACAGCCUUCGGACUGUCCGAUUCUGACUUCGGAUUUACUCCGGAAACCCUAGGUCGAACCAACGCUUCCCUCACGAGGGAGCGCAUCCUCACCUACUCCUCUCAGGAGAAGUUACCCGUUGUCAGACCGGUCCUCCAGACCGAUUAGACUUUUGCUCAGCGCCUGAUGCUUCCGGUCUUCAUACUGGGCAUCCGCUCCACAACCCGCCCAAACUUUCACCCAGUCCGCGACCACCAGGAUUUCAACCUAGAGUCCCCGACUCUAGGAUUUUGCCUGAAGCACUCGACCCGCCAAGACUUUCCACCUAGGGUUACCACCCCCUAGGACCUAGGGUUACCACCCCCUAGGAUUUUCCACCUGCUUAACCGCAACUAAGACUUUUCCUCACCUAGGUUACCGCCCCCUAGGACCUAAGGUUACCACGCCCUAGGGUUUUCCACUUGCCUAGAAUCCACUAGAACUUUUACCUAAGAACACUUAGGACUUUUCCUGCAAGCUCAAUCAACCUUGUUAGAUAACAAGACAACUUAACUUUGGACCCUUUGGCAUAAUCAAAACCUAGGUUCGAUCGUCGGAUGCUUCCCAUACCAACAAUGUUUUCAUUAAUCAAGAACGAAAGUUAGGAGCUCGAAAAUGAUCAGAUAUCGUCCUAGUCUCAACCAUAAACGAUGUUGACCAGGGAUCGAUGGAUGUUGUUCUUUGGACUCCGCCGGCACCUUAUGAGAAAUCAAAGUUUUUAGGUUCCAAGGGGGAAUAUGGUCGCAAAGCUAAAACUUAAAGGAAUUGACGGAAGGGCACCGCCAGGAGUGGAGCCUGCGGCUUAAUUUGACUCAACACGAGGAAACUUACCAGGUUUAGAUAUAGUAAGGAUUGACAGAUUGAGAGCUCUUUCACGUGUGGCAAAAGGCGAUUCACUCACCACAAUGCCUCCGUCAACUCGUCCCUAGGCCAACACGGAGGAGGUAAAUCACGGGUGGCUACUAGUCAUUAGUACAAGUGGCCAAGACAUGGGGGAGGCAUGGUCGGACGGGCCGAGUUUCGAACCUAAGACCUCAUGUGGCAACACCCCAUAUCUUAACCACCGCACCGUCCCGAGAGGACAAUUGAGAGCUCUUUCACUUUUUUUUAAUGAAUAGGUAAAUAGAUCAUCGAAAAAGUGCAUACACGCCGAAAGUAUAAACGAUCCCAAAUAUGUCACUUCCAGACAAAUGUUGGAUCGACUGUGGGAACUUGA
rnacentral:rRNA from 1 species